ACGUAGGUGGCAAGCGUUGUCCGGAUUUACUGGGCGUAAAGGGAGCGUAGGCGGACUUUUAAGUGAGAUGUGAAAUACCCGGGCUCAACUUGGGUGCUGCAUUUCAAACUGGAAGUCUAGAGUGCAGGAGAGGAGAAUGGAAUUCCUAGUGUAGCGGUGAAAUGCGUAGAGAUUAGGAAGAACACCAGUGGCGAAGGCGAUUCUCUGGACUGUAACUGACGCUGAGGCUCGAAAGCGUGGGGAGCAAACAG
rnacentral:rRNA from 1 species